rnacentral:rRNA from 1 species
AGAGUUUGAUCCUGGCUCAGGACGAACGCUGGCGGCGUGCCUAACACAUGCAAGUCGAGCGGAGACGAUUGGUAGCUUGCUACUGAUUGUUUUAGCGGCGGACGGGUGAGUAACGCGUGAGCAACCUUUCCCAGACAGGGGAAUAACACACCGAAAGGUGUACUAAUACCGCAUAAGACCACGGGAUCACAUGGUUCUGAGGUAAAAGAUUUAUCGGUUUGGGGUGGGCUCGCGUCCGAUUAGGUAGUUGGUGAGGUAACGGCCCACCAAGCCGACGAUCGGUAGCCGACCUGAGAGGGUGAUCGGCCACAUUGGGACUGAGACACGGCCCAAACUCCUACGGGAGGCAGCAGUGGGGAAUAUUGGGCAAUGGGGGAAACCCUGACCCAGCAACGCCGCGUGGAGGAAGAAGGUUUUCGGAUCGUAAACUCCUGUCCUUGGAGACGAGUAGAAGACGGUAUCCAAGGAGGAAGCCCCGGCUAACUACGUGCCAGCAGCCGCGGUAAUACGUAGGGGGCAAGCGUUGUCCGGAAUAAUUGGGCGUAAAGGGCGCGUAGGCGGCUCGGUAAGUCUGGAGUGAAAGUCCUGCUUUUAAGGUGGGAAUUGCUUUGGAUACUGUCGGGCUUGAGUGCAGGAGAGGUUAGUGGAAUUCCCAGUGUAGCGGUGAAAUGCGUAGAGAUUGGGAGGAACACCAGUGGCGAAGGCGACUAACUGGACUGUAACUGACGCUGAGGCGCGAAAGUGUGGGGAGCAAACAGGAUUAGAUACCCUGGUAGUCCACACUGUAAACGAUGAAUGCUAGGUGUAGGGGGUAUCGACCCCUUCUGUGCCGCAGUCAACACAAUAAGCAUUCCGCCUGGGGAGUACGGCCGCAAGGUUGAAACUCAAAGGAAUUGACGGGGGCCCGCACAAGCAGCGGAGCAUGUGGUUUAAUUCGACGCAACGCGAAGAACCUUACCAGGUCUUGACAUCCACUUAAACUUACAGAGAUGUAAGGUGUGCUUGCACAAAGUGAGACAGGUGGUGCAUGGUUGUCGUCAGCUCGUGUCGUGAGAUGUUGGGUUAAGU